rnacentral:lncRNA from 1 species
GGGUAGAGUUGUCAUUUCAGCAUUUUUUUACUAUUGUUUUUGUUGCAAAAUUAUUUCAGAGCAGCCCAUAAAUAUGGGAAGACAUGAGAAUCAAUGAACUUCUCCUUCUUUUCUUUAGUUAAAGUGUAUUUGUGCUUUAAGUUGUCAAAUACUUAAUGGAAAAAACAGGGUGUUUUGUGUAUUGUGAUUGUCAUAGUGAAUAGCAAAUUACAAUUAUGAAUUUUUGGAGGCCAAAAAAUGAACAUACAGUGCUAAAAAUUAUUAAGUAAAAUGGUGCACUUAAAG